AUGAACGCUAGCUACAGGCUUAACACAUGCAAGUCGAGGGGCAGCAUUUUAGUUUGCUUGCAAACUGAAGAUGGCGACCGGCGCACGGGUGAGUAACACGUAUCCAACCUGCCGAUAACUCCGGAAUAGCCUUUCGAAAGAAAGAUUAAUACCGGAUGGCAUACGAAUAUCGCAUGAUAUUUUUAUUAAAGAAUUUCGGUUAUCGAUGGGGAUGCGUUCCAUUAGUUUGUUGGCGGGGUAACGGCCCACCAAGACUACGAUGGAUAGGGGUUCUGAGAGGAAGGUCCCCCACAUUGGAACUGAGACACGGUCCAAACUCCUACGGGAGGCAGCAGUGAGGAAUAUUGGUCAAUGGGCGCGAGCCUGAACCAGCCAAGUAGCGUGAAGGAUGAAGGCUCUAUGGGUCGUAAACUUCUUUUAUAUGGGAAUAAAGUUUUCCACGUGUGGAAUUUUGUAUGUACCAUAUGAAUAAGGAUCGGCUAACUCCGUGCCAGCAGCCGCGGUAAUACGGAGGAUCCGAGCGUUAUCCGGAUUUAUUGGGUUUAAAGGGAGCGUAGGUGGAUUGUUAAGUCAGUUGUGAAAGUUUGCGGCUCAACCGUAAAAUUGCAGUUGAAACUGGCAGUCUUGAGUACAGUAGAGGUGGGCGGAAUUCGUGGUGUAGCGGUGAAAUGCUUAGAUAUCACGAAGAACUCCGAUUGCGAAGGCAGCUCACUGGAGUGUAACUGAUGCUGAUGCUCGAAAGUGUGGGUAUCAAACAGGAUUAGAUACCCUGGUAGUCCAUGCCGUAAACGAUGAUUACUAGGUGUUGGAGGAUUGACCCCUUCAGUGCCGCAGUUAACACAAUAAGUAAUCCACCUGGGGAGUACGACCGCAAGGUUGAAACUCAAAGGAAUUGACGGGGGCCCGCACAAGCGGAGGAACAUGUGGUUUAAUUCGAUGAUACGCGAGGAACCUUACCCGGGCUUAAAUUGCAACAGAAUAUAUUGGAAACAGUAUAGCCGUAAGGCGGUUGUGAAGGUGCUGCAUGGUUGUCGUCAGCUCGUGCCGUGAGGUGUCGGCUUAAGUGCCAUAACGAGCGCAACCCUUAUCUUUAGUUACUAACAGGUUAUGCUGAGGACUCUAGAGAGACUGCCGUCGUAAGAUGUGAGGAAGGUGGGGAUGACGUCAAAUCAGCACGGCCCUUACGUCCGGGGCUACACACGUGUUACAAUGGGGGGUACAGAAGGCGGCUACCUGGUGACAGGAUGCUAAUCCCAAAAACCUCUCUCAGUUCGGAUCGAAGUCUGCAACCCGACUUCGUGAAGCUGGAUUCGCUAGUAAUCGCGCAUCAGCCAUGGCGCGGUGAAUACGUUCCCGGGCCUUGUACACACCGCCCGUCAAGCCAUGAAAGCCGGGGGUACCUGAAGUACGUAACCGCAAGGAGCGUCCUAGGGUAAAACUGGUAAUUGGGGCU
rnacentral:rRNA from 1 species